UGGGGAAUAUUGCACAAUGGGCGCAAGCCUGAUGCAGCCAUGCCGCGUGUAUGAAGAAGGCCUUCGGGUUGUAAAGUACUUUCAGCGGGGAGGAAGGGAGUAAAGUUAAUACCUUGGCUCAGUGACGUUACCCGCAGAAGAAGCACCGGCUAACUCCGUGCCAGCAGCCGCGGUAAUACGGAGGGUGCAAGCGUUAAUCGGAAUUACUGGGCGUAAAGCGCACGCAGGCGGUUUGUUAAGUCAGAUGUGAAAUCCCCGGGCUCAACCUAGGAACUGCAUCUGAUACUGGCAAGCUUGAGUCUCGUAGAGGGGGGUAGAAUUCCAGGUGUAGCGGUGAAAUGCGUAGAGAUCUGGAGGAAUACCGGUGGCGAAGGCGCCCCCCUGUCCGCAGACUGACGCUCAGGUGCGAAAGCGUGGGGAGCGAACAGG
rnacentral:rRNA from 1 species